rnacentral:rRNA from 1 species
GAUGAACGCUAGCGGGAGGCUUAACACAUGCAAGUCGAGGGGCAGCACGAGGUAGCAAUACUUUGGUGGCGACCGGCGCACGGGUGAGUAACGCGUAUGCAACCUACCCUGUACAGGGGGAUAACCCGGAGAAAUUCGGACUAAUACCCCAUAAAGAUAUUUGGAGGCAUCUUUGAAUAUUUAAAGUUCCGGCGGUACGGGAUGGGCAUGCGUGACAUUAGCUAGUUGGUAGGGUAACGGCCUACCAAGGCUUCGAUGUCUAGGGGUCCUGAGAGGGUGAUCCCCCACACUGGUACUGAGACACGGACCAGACUCCUACGGGAGGCAGCAGUGAGGAAUAUUGGUCAAUGGGCGCAAGCCUGAACCAGCCAUCCCGCGUGAAGGAAGAAGGCGCUAUGCGUUGUAACCUUCUUUUCCAGGGGAAGAAAACCAGAUACGAGUAUCGGCUUGCCGGUACCCUGGGAAUAAGCAUCGGCUAACUCCGUGCCAGCCGCCGCCGUAAAAC